rnacentral:rRNA from 1 species
UACAGAGGGGGCGAGCGUUGUUCGGAAUUACUGGGCGUAAAGGGCGCGUAGGCGGCCCGCUAAGUCGAACGUGAAAUCCCCAGGCUCAACCUGGGAACUGCGUCCGAUACUGGCAGGCUUGAAUCCGGGAGAGGGAUGUGGAAUUCCAGGUGUAGCGGUGAAAUGCGUAGAUAUCUGGAGGAACACCGGUGGCGAAGGCGGCCUGCUGGGCAGUGGCUGACACUGAGGCGCGACAGCGUGGGGAGCAAACAGG